GACGAACGCUGGCGGCGUGCUUAACACAUGCAAGUCGAACGGAAAGGCCCUGCUUUUGUGGGGUGCUCGAGUGGCGAACGGGUGAGUAACACGUGAGUAACCUGCCCUUGACUUUGGGAUAACUUCAGGAAACUGGGGCUAAUACCGGAUAGGAGCUCCUGCUGCAUGGUGGGGGUUGGAAAGUUUCGGCGGUUGGGGAUGGACUCGCGGCUUAUCAGCUUGUUGGUGGGGUAGUGGCUUACCAAGGCUUUGACGGGUAGCCGGCCUGAGAGGGUGACCGGCCACAUUGGGACUGAGAUACGGCCCAGACUCCUACGGGAGGCAGCAGUGGGGAAUAUUGCACAAUGGGCGGAAGCCUUAUGCAGCAACGCCGCGUGCGGGAUGACGGCCUUCGGGUUUUAAACCGCUUUCGCCUGUGACGAAGCGUGAGUGACGGUAAUGGGUAAAGAAGCACCGGCUAACUACGUG
rnacentral:rRNA from 1 species